rnacentral:rRNA from 1 species
GGCGGACGGGUGAGUAAUGCCUGGGAAAUUGCCCUGAUGUGGGGGAUAACCAUUGGAAACGAUGGCUAAUACCGCAUAACGUCUACGGACCAAAGAGGGGGACCUUCGGGCCUCUCGCUUCAGGAUAUGCCCAGGUGGGAUUAGCUAGUUGGUGAGGUAAUGGCUCACCAAGGCGACGAUCCCUAGCUGGUCUGAGAGGAUGAUCAGCCACACUGGAACUGAGACACGGUCCAGACUCCUACGGGAGGCAGCAGUGGGGAAUAUUGCACAAUGGGCGCAAGCCUGAUGCAGCCAUGCCGCGUGUAUGAAGAAGGCCUUCGGGUUGUAAAGUACUUUCAGUCGUGAGGAAGGCGUUGAAGUUAAUAGCUUCAUCGUUUGACGUUAGCGACAGAAGAAGCACCGGCUAACUCCGUGCCAGCAGCCGCGGUAAUACGGAGGGUGCGAGCGUUAAUCGGAAUUACUGGGCGUAAAGCGCAUGCAGGUGGUUUGUUAAGUCAGAUGUGAAAGCCCGGGGCUCAACCUCGGAACCGCAUUUGAAACUGGCAGGCUAGAGUACUGNAGAGGGGGGUAGAAUUUCAGGUGUAGCGGUGAAAUGCGUAGAGAUCUGAAGGAAUACCAGUGGCGAANGCGGCCCCCUGGACAGAUACUGACACUC